CAUGCCGCAGGUGAAAAGGGAAAGGAGUGCAAAUCUCCUACGGUCCCGCCGCUGUAAUGGAAGAGUUUGGCGCAUUGUGUGUCACUGGGUUUCUCUGGGAAGGCCGCGCCGGACGAUGAAGCCUGAGUCAGAAAACCUGCCUUUAAGAGUA
rnacentral:ncRNA from 1 species